rnacentral:rRNA from 1 species
GACAGAGGGGGCAAGCGUUGCUCGGAAUUACUGGGCGUAAAGGGCGCGUAGGCGGGAUGGCAAGUCGGUCGUGAAAUCCCUCGGCUCAACCGAGGAACGUCGAUCGAUACUGCUGUUCUUGAGGAUUGCAGAGGAGACUGGAAUUCCCGGUGUAGCGGUGAAAUGUGUAGAGAUCAUGAGGAAGACCAGUGGCGAAGGCGGGUCUCUGGACAGUUCCUGACACUGAGGCACGAAGGCCAGGGGAGCAAACGGG